GUUUUCUAAGAAGCUAAAUAAAAAAAAAAAAAAGAAAGUUUGAAAGGUCGUAAAAAGUAAUGUAUAAAUUAAGAAAUGCCAGCGUAUCUUAGAACCCUUUCAUUAUUUUUAAACUGGUGUACAUAACCUCUGUUGAGAGAUAGAUUACAAUGAGCUUUUGUUAUUGUUUUGAAUCGGGAUGCCGUCUACAAUAACCGCCGCCUGCAACCAAUCAUAUGCCAGAGUUCGGGUCAUGAACUUGAUGCUAUCCAUCCCGUCAUGUGUGUUGCGUGACGUCACGUCCGCUCUAUCUAGCGAGAAGUUAAGUUGGAGAUGUGCCAAGCGGAGUUGUUUUCAUUCUACCGAUCACGUGCCGAUUGCCCAAGUAGAUAGCACGAUUCCCGUUGCCUGCUUCCAUUUAUCUAAAUAAGAGAGCUUCUUCUAUAAAUAUAAAAAGAAAAAAAAUAGCCUGAAUCGCGUAUUGUGCGCCAUUCUUUAGUAACAAGUCUAUAAUUAAGUUUCUUAAAAAUGCGGAUGCGCGCCAGGAGGCAACGUUCCUGUGGUAUAUUUCAACGACGGAUAUAGUGUCACUUGGCAUUUGUCACACGGUCCCGGGGUCGAUGGACGGACAGAACGCAACAGCAUCCCGUUUGGGAGGAAACAAUAGAUGAAUCACGUAUACAGUAAUUAGCAAGAUGAUCCCCGCUAACCUCUUCAUCCAAGUGUGAAAUCGUAAAUCCCCUGGUGAUGUAUGGUCUGAGAAUUAUUUACGAUCGAUCUGCUGGGUCUUAUCUGUCCAUAAAUCGCCAUGUUGUCGUCGACUCUGAACUCCCAGCACUGUCGCUGUUGCCAUAGAGACGUUUUCAAGGUAGAACCAUUCCUUCUACACAGCUGGUCGAUGACGUCACUUCCGCCUUUGCAGCUGGUUACGACUUAUGGCUUUUAUUUAUCCCCUCCCGCGGAUAGGUUUGUAUAAUCGGGUCACGUUUUCUCCGAUUACGUUGUAUCACCGUGUCAUUAACGAACCUCAUUGUUCAAUUCUUUUUUUUUUUUUUUUUUUAAUAUUUCGCCGUUCGAGAUUGGUGCAACAAGUUUAGCGAGUUCGGUAAAUCGUUUCUUUUCGAUGAAUAUAUUCUUUCUGGAAGACAAGUUGAUGGCAGACGGCCAAACAGCCGCAUUAACAACAAAGUCGUCACCUUGCACAACCUUUCGGGCAUUUACUGGCACCAAUAAACGUAUAACUAGAAUCGAUUGUCUGCUUCUUGCUAACUGUACAUUUUCCACUUAUUCCAACAAGAAAAAGUCGAUUCCUUUUCUAGAACAGAUUAUGUGUCUGCCAUGGAAUCUGAUGUGUCGCAUUGUUUCAAAAUUUUAAAUAAAAAACAGUACUGUACUAGAAAGGAAUUAGUGUACAUAGUUUACAGUUGUGUAUAGAAAGGAAUUAAUAUACUUUACACUGUUUUAUUAACAAAAUACGUAUAGGCAAGACAUCGUAUCCGUACUGCAAUAUACUAUUGAAUUAAACACCUACAAUCGCCUUUCUAAUUGAUCCUACAGAUUUAAACCUCCAACAAUGGCCAUCCCAUCUCACACAUCUAAAUACGUAAGUAUUUAGAUGUGAGCUGUACAUCCCGAGAACAAAGAAUACAUUCCCAUUUAAGAUAUACACGUGUUGCGUUAAAGCC
rnacentral:lncRNA from 1 species